ACGGAGGGUGCAAGCGUUACUCGGAAUCACUGGGCGUAAAGAGCGUGUAGGCGGGUUGAUAAGUUUGAAGUGAAAUCCUAUAGCUUAACUAUAGAACUGCUUUGAAAACUGUUAACCUAGAAUAUGGGAGAGGUAGAUGGAAUUUCUGGUGUAGGGGUGAAAUGCGUAGAGAUCAGAAGGAACACCGAUUGCGAAGGCAGUCUACUGGGACAUUACUGACGCUGAGACGCGAAAGCGUGGGUAGCGAACAG
rnacentral:rRNA from 1 species